rnacentral:rRNA from 1 species
GGUUGUUUGAACCGCAUGGUUCAGACAUAAAAGGUGGCUUCGGCUACCACUUACAGAUGGACCCGCGGCGCAUUAGCUAGUUGGUGAGGUAACGGCUCACCAAGGCGACGAUGCGUAGCCGACCUGAGAGGGUGAUCGGCCACACUGGGACUGAGACACGGCCCAGACUCCUACGGGAGGCAGCAGUAGGGAAUCUUCCGCAAUGGACGAAAGUCUGACGGAGCAACGCCGCGUGAGUGAUGAAGGUUUUCGGAUCGUAAAGCUCUGUUGUUAGGGAAGAACAAGUGCCGUUCAAAUAGGGCGGCACCUUGACGGUACCUAACCAGAAAGCCACGGCUAACUACGUGCCAGCAGCCGCGGUAAUACGUAGGUGGCAAGCGUUGUCCGGAAUUAUUGGGCGUAAAGGGCUCGCAGGCGGUUUCUUAAGUCUGAUGUGAAAGCCCCCGGCUCAACCGGGGAGGGUCAUUGGAAACUGGGGAACUUGAGUGCAGAAGAGGAGAGUGGAAUUCCACGUGUAGCGGUGAAAUGCGUAGAGAUGUGGAGGAACACCAGUGGCGAAGGCGACUCUCU